rnacentral:lncRNA from 1 species
GCGCCCCUGCACCCAAGCCACCACAAGAAAGACCUCACAGACGAGGUGCCAAUGAAACAAGAAGGAGAGUUGUGAAUCAAUGGGAAUGAAAAGCCCCUACGCAAGUAGCAAACCCACCUGGGAACCAGCCUGCUAGUCAAUAAAAACCUCCAAGUGCCAAGGAUGUGCAUGUUAUUCCAGAGCAAAUAAAUUCACUUACCAGAACUGAG